UCCCUGGUGGCUCAGAUAAUAAAGAGCCUGGCUGCAAUGCAGGAGGCCUGGGUUUGAUCCCUGGCUUGGGAA
rnacentral:tRNA from 1 species